rnacentral:tRNA from 1 species
GUCCCCGUAAUUCAACGGAUAGAAUAGACCCGUCCUAAGGGUAAAAUGGGAGUUCAAUUCUUCCCGGGGACACAA